GUGGGGAAUUUUGGACAAUGGGCGCAAGCCUGAUCCAGCAAUGCCGCGUGCAGGAAGAAGGCCUUCGGGUUGUAAACUGCUUUUGUACGGAACGAAACGGUCCUGGUUAAUACCUGGGGCUAAUGACGGUACCGUAAGAAUAAGCACCGGCUAACUACGUGCCAGCAGCCGCGGUAAUACGUAGGGUGCGAGCGUUAAUCGGAAUUACUGGGCGUAAAGCGUGCGCAGGCGGUGCUGUAAGACAGGCGUGAAAUCCCCGGGCUCAACCUGGGAAUUGCGCUUGUGACUGCAGUGCUGGAGUACGGCAGAGGGGGAUGGAAUUCCGCGUGUAGCAGUGAAAUGCGUAGAUAUGCGGAGGAACACCGAUGGCGAAGGCAGUCCCCUGGGCCUGUACUGACGCUCAUGCACGAAAGCGUGGGGAGCAAACAGGAUUGGAAACCCGAGUAGUCC
rnacentral:rRNA from 1 species